rnacentral:rRNA from 1 species
AAUGAACGCUGGCGGCAGGCUUAACACAUGCAAGUCGAACGGUAAGGCCCUUCGGGGUACACGAGUGGCGAACGGGUGAGUAACACGUGGGUGAUCUGCCCUGCACUUCGGGAUAAGCCUGGGAAACUGGGUCUAAUACCGGAUAGGACCACUGCCUGCAUGGGUGGUGGUGGAAAGCUUUUGCGGUGUGGGAUGGGCCCGCGGCCUAUCAGCUUGUUGGUGGGGUGAUGGCCUACCAAGGCGACGACGGGUAGCCGGCCUGAGAGGGUGACCGGCCACACUGGGACUGAGAUACGGCCCAGACUCCUACGGGAGGCAGCAGUGGGGAAUAUUGCACAAUGGGCGCAAGCCUGAUGCAGCGACGCCGCGUGAGGGAUGACGGCCUUCGGGUUGUAAACCUCUUUCAGCACCGACGAAGCGCAAGUGACGGUAGGUGCAGAAGAAGGACCGGCCAACUGCGUGCCAGCCGCCGCGGUAAAAC